AGUGAACGCUGGCGGUAGGCCUAACACAUGCAAGUCGAACGGCAGCACAGUAAGAGCUUGCUCUUACGGGUGGCGAGUGGCGGACGGGUGAGGAAUACACCGGAAUCCACUUUUUCGUGGGGGAUAACGAAGGGAAACUUACGCUAAUACCGCAUACGACCUACGGGUGAAAGCAGAAGAUCUUUGGAUGUUGGGCGAGUGAAUGAGCCGUGGGCGGAUUAGCUGGUUGGUGGGGUAAAGGCCCACCAAGGCGACGAUCCGUAGCUGGGCUGAGAGGAUGAUCCGCCACGAUGGAGCUGAGAGACGCACCAGGAUCCUACGGCGGGCAGGAGUGGGAAAUAUUGGAGAAGGGGCGCAAGCCUGAUCCAGCCAGACCGCGUGGGUGAAGAAGGCCUCCGGGUUGUAAAGCCCUUUUGUUGGGAAAGAAAAGCAGCAGGUUGAGGCCCCGCUGUUCGGACGGUACCCAAAGAAUAAGCACCGGCUAACUUCGU
rnacentral:rRNA from 1 species